GUGGAAUGCAAAACCUGAACGUGCGUGAUCUCAUCUAAUCUUGGAAGCUAAGCAGCCAGGCCUGGCUAGUACUUGGAUGGGAGACCACCUAGGAAUACCAGGUGCUGUAGGCC
ensembl:rRNA 5S_rRNA 5S ribosomal RNA